rnacentral:ncRNA from 14 species
AUUCGUCUUCGGGGCAGGGUGUAAUUCCCGACCGGCGGUAAUGAAUGAUUUCAUUCUAAGCCCGCGAGCCUGUUGUUUGGGCAGGAUUUGGUGAGAUUCCAAAGCCGACAGUAUAGUCUGGAUGGGAGGAGAUGAAG